rnacentral:rRNA from 1 species
GAGAGUUUGAUCCUGGCUCAGGAUGAACGCUAGCUACAGGCUUAACACAUGCAAGUCGAGGGGCAGCAUGGUCUUAGCUUGCUAAGGCCGAUGGCGACCGGCGCACGGGUGAGUAACACGUAUCCAACCUGCCGUCUACUCUUGGACAGCCUUCUGAAAGGAAGAUUAAUACAAGAUGGCAUCAUGAGUCCGUAUGUUCACAUGAUUAAAGGUAUUCCGGUAGACGAUGGGGAUGCGUUCCAUUAGAUAGUAGGCGGGGUAACGGCCCACCUAGUCUUCGAUGGAUAGGGGUUCUGAGAGGAAGGUCCCCCACAUUGGAACUGAGACACGGUCCAAACUCCUACGGGAGGCAGCAGUGAGGAAUAUUGGUCAAUGGGCGAGAGCCUGAACCAGCCAAGUAGCGUGAAGGAUGACUGCCCUAUGGGUUGUAAACUUCUUUUAUAAAGGAAUAAAGUCGGGUAUGCAUACCCGUUUGCAUGUACUUUAUGAAUAAGGAUCGGCUAACUCCGUGCCAGCAGCCGCGGUAAUACGGAGGAUCCGAGCGUUAUCCGGAUUUAUUGGGUUUAAAGGGGGCGUAGAUGGAUGUUUAAGUCAGUUGUGAAAGUUUGCGGCUCAACCGUAAAAUUGCAGUUGAUACUGGAUGUCUUGAGUGCAGUUGAGGCAGGCGGAAUUCGUGGUGUAGCGGUGAAAUGCUUAGAUAUCACGAAGAACUCCGAUUGCGAAGGCAGCCUGCUAAGCUGCAACUGACAUUGAGGCUCGAAAGUGUGGGUAUCAAACAGGAUUAGAUACCCUGGUAGUCCACACGGUAAACGAUGAAUACUCGCUGUUUGCGAUAUACUGCAAGCGGCCAAGCGAAAGCGUUAAGUAUUCCACCUGGGGAGUACGCCGGCAACGGUGAAACUCAAAGGAAUUGACGGGGGCCCGCACAAGCGGAGGAACAUGUGGUUUAAUUCGAUGAUACGCGAGGAACCUUACCCGGGCUUAAAUUGCAGAUGAAUUACGGUGAAAGCCGUAAGCCGCAAGGCAUCUGUGAAGGUGCUGCAUGGUUGUCGUCAGCUCGUGCCGUGAGGUGUCGGCUUAAGUGCCAUAACGAGCGCAACCCUUGUUGUCAGUUACUAACAGGUUCUGCUGAGGACUCUGACAAGACUGCCAUCGUAAGAUGUGAGGAAGGUGGGGAUGACGUCAAAUCAGCACGGCCCUUACGUCCGGGGCUACACACGUGUUACAAUGGGGGGUACAGAGGGCCGCUACCACGCGAGUGGAUGCCAAUCCCAAAAACCUCUCUCAGUUCGGACUGGAGUCUGCAACCCGACUCCACGAAGCUGGAUUCGCUAGUAAUCGCGCAUCAGCCACGGCGCGGUGAAUACGUUCCCGGGCCUUGUACACACCGCCCGUCAAGCCAUGGGAGCCGGGGGUACCUGAAGUGCGUAACCGCGAGGAGCGCCCUAGGGUAAAACUGGUGACUGGGGCUAAGUCGUAACAAGGUAGCCG